UUUCCACUCUGUGCAGCUAUCUGCUUUAAACUUUAUAGGGAAAAUUCGUCCAUUGAUUAAAGUAACAUAAAAUCAUGAAAUGGAUGAUGGUGGAAGGGUUUUAAGGAAAUCGUCCAUUUCAACUGCUGUCCUUAAAGCUGAGUCACUUAAAGCAGGGCACCCAGUUAAAUGAAGAAAAAUAAUACACACUGCCAUUUUCAAGGCCCUGUGGAGUUAUCGAAAAUUUCUAUUGAACCAAUGGUUACCACACAGAGUCAUUAAAAUGCUUCAGUUUCUCCUGGCCUCCCAGCGCUGCACCACUCUAGGAGCCGAGUCAGUUUUGUGAUUUCUAUAUACAAUGGAGAGCAAUUUCUCAAGCAGUUGUCAGAGCUGCCAGGGGAGCAAGGGCAUGUCUGGGAAACCCACAGAGCUGAGGAACAAGCUGAAAGCAUGAAAAACACUGCUGGAGUAGGAACAACCUUAUAAGGCAAAAGGUGUUAACUUGAUCAUGGUAUCCCAAAAAAGCAUGACACUUCAGCUUAAGAAAAGCUAAAGCCUCAACACCGCUGAUAAAGUCUACCCUGAUAAAGUCUACCUUAAAAUGCUUGAAAUAAGGCAAAGUGUCAUAGAACCAUGAUAGGUCUUGUGAAUCUGUAUGCAAGACCAAUGGCACACACAAGCAUUUUGAAAGUAAAAAAAAAAGAAAUUUGUAUCUGGAGACUCACAUUCAUCUUUUGGAACUGUGUCAUCUGUUGAAGCAUUUAUAUUUCUACUGAAUGUCUGAAG